GUGCUGUAGUGUGAUCAUAGCUCACUGCAGCUUGGAACUCCUGGGCUGAAGCGAUCCUCCUGCCUCAGCCUCCUGAGUAGCUGUGACUACAGGCACACACUACCAUGCCUGAUUGUUUUCUUCAUUUUUGUAGAGGCAGGGUCUCACCAUGUUGCCCAGGCUGGUGUUGAAUUCCUGGUCUCAAGUGAUCCUCCUGCCUUGUCCUCCCAAAGUGCUGGGAUUACAGGCAGGAGCCACUACACCUGGCACAGAGCAUAUUUUUGAACAAGAUCCUUAAUUCUGACAUGUCUUUGCACAUCAUGUUUUUCUUUGAAUCUCUAAAACAACAGAGGGAAGAUUUUCCCAGAGAAGUCACUGUAUAGUGGUUUCCUUCAUCACAGGCGAGGGCAUGGCUACAGGAACAGCCUGUGAACACCUCUAUCCCUAGGGGCCUCAUGGUGUAAUUCUUAGCUCCAAGAAACACAGAUGUCCCUUAGUGGGGCAUUUCUGGGUGUGAGGAGACACUCG
rnacentral:lncRNA from 10 species